rnacentral:rRNA from 1 species
UACGUAGGUGGCAAGCGUUGUCCGGAUUUACUGGGCGUGAAGAGCGCGCAGGCGGUCGAUCAAGUCGCGUGUGAAAGCCCCCGGCUCAACUGGGGAGGGUCACGCGAUACUGAUCGACUCGAAGGCAGGAGAGGGUAGUGGAAUUCCCAGUGUAGUGGUGAAAUACGUAGAGAUUGGGAAGAACACCAGUGGCGAAGGCGGCUAUCUGGACGGUUUCUGACACUAAGACACGAAAGCGUGGGGAGCAAACAGG